CCUGAGAACAUGUAAGUGGCUGGAAGCAUAGAAAAGGACUUCUGGUUGAAAUGCAUGUAUGUACACUAAAAUUUCCAGGGCAAUAUUUCAAAAGACCUAUGGAGAGAGUUUAACAAUGUCAUUUUUAGCAACAAAUCGAGUUUAACAAUGUCAUUUUUAGCAACAAAUCAAAUUAUAGCAAGUUCAUAAGCAUGCCUUUUGAAAGCUUAAACAUUUCCUGAAACUGAUAUAUAGAACCUAUUCACCAAGUCUGCAUACCAGCCUCAACAAGCUUAGCAGCUUCUUCUAUAAUGGAUCUGCAGUCAGCAGAGCUUGGCCAUCAUAACAGGUGGCAGUACAAACAUAUCAUAAACAAGGUCUCCACUGCAGUUUUUGAGGAAGAUAGCAGGAUCUUCUAUCCUGGAUCGGAUAUAAGAAUCUUAAGCUUCACUGGCUACAGUUUUGACUAUUGAACCGUCUACACCUUAAUUAGUACCCAAUAAGAGGGUGAAUCAUGUUUAGGGGUAGGCAUAUUACGACCUUGAGAGAUCCAUAGUAAAAUUUGUAGUUCCUGUUUCCCUCGGAUCCUCCACAUCCACUGAACUAACUUCUCUCAGUAUGCAAAUACUCUUCUGGAGCAGAUUUCACAGAUAGAAACAUGCCUGCAUGGAUUUAGGAUCCAUAUAAUUCGAUUGCCCACCAUUAACAUGUCUAACCUUCCCAGAUGCAGUACCAACCGUAGAUUGAUGCAAUAAACAAACAUCUCAAUGAAGCCAGCAGCAAAAACGAACACUCACAACACAAGCCACCCUCUGAACAAGCAUUUAACAUCAAAAUCAGACAUUGCAUUGUUUUGAAGGAGCCCAAGUUCAGCCACGUUUUCUUUCACAGGCAUUUCACCAACAAGAAUGUUCUUCGGUUAAAGUCCUAUAGCAUAAACUGAUGAUAUCUGCAUCAUCCUGAAGAUAGGUUGAGGUUUUGUUAGCAUCAAGCUGCAUAUCACGAAGUCUAAACUAAAUACCACAAAAAAGGGAAAGCAAGGUAAAGG
rnacentral:lncRNA from 1 species